rnacentral:rRNA from 1 species
CUACGGGAUGCUCCAGUGAGGAAUAUUGCACAAUGGGGGGAACCCUGAUGCAGCAACGCCGCGUGGAGGAUGACGCAUUUCGGUGUGUAAACUCCUUUUAUAUGUCAAGAAAAUGACGGUAGCAUAUGAAUAAGCACCGGCUAACUCCGUGCCAGCAGCCGCGGUAAUACGGAGGGUGCAAGCGUUACUCGGAAUCACUGGGCGUAAAGGACGCGUAGGCGGGUUGGGAAGUCAGGUGUGAAAUCCUACAGCUUAACUGUAGAACUGCACUUGAAACUUCUAAUCUAGAGUAUGGGAGGGGGAGAUGGAAUUAGUGGUGUAGGGGUAAAAUCCGUAGAUAUCACUAGGAAUACCUAAAGCGAAGGCGAUCUCCUGGAACAUUACUGACGCUAAGGCGUGAAAGCGUGGGGAGCAGACAGGAUUAGAUACCCCCGUAGUC